rnacentral:rRNA from 1 species
UGGAAUUCAGUGAUCCUAUGCUGCCGAGAAAAGCCUCUAGUGAGUUCAUACACGGCCCGUACCCCAAACCGACACAGGUGAUCAGGUAGAGAAUACCAAGGCGAUCGAGAGAACUGUGGUUAAGGAACUCGGCAAAAUGCCCCCGUAACUUCGGGAGAAGGGGGACCAUGCCCGGUGAACAUCUUCACGGUGGGAGCUGGGUGUGGUCGCAGAGACCAGAGAGAAGCGACUGUUUACUAAAAACACAGGUCCGUGCGAAGACGUAAGUCGAUGUAUACGGACUGACGCCUGCCCGGUGCUGGAAGGUUAAGAGGACCGGUUAGCCGUAAGGCGAAGCUGAGAAUUUAAGCCCCAGUAAACGGCGGUGGUAACUAUAACCAUCCUAAGGUAGCGAAAUUCCUUGUCGGGUAAGUUCCGACCUGCACGAAUGGCGUAACGACUUCUCUGCUGUCUCGACCACAGACUCGGCGAAAUUGCACUACGUGUAAAGAUGCUCGUUACGCGCGGCAGGACGAAAAGACCCCGGGACCUUUACUAUAGCUUGGUAUUGGCGUUCGAUUCGGUUUGUGUAGGAUAGGUGGGAGACUGUGAAGCAUGCACGCCAGUGUGUGUGGAGUCGUUGUUGAAAUACCACUCUGAUCGUAUUGGACGUCUAACCUCGGCCCAUGAUCUGGGUUAGGGACAGUGCCUGGUGGGUAGUUUAACUGGGGCGGUUGCCUCCAAAAGAGUAACGGAGGCGCCCAAAGGUUCCCUCAGCCUGGAUGGCAAUCAGGUGUUGAGUGCAAGUGCACAAGGGAGCUUGACUGUGAGACUGACACGUCGAGCAGGGACGAAAGUCGGGACUAGUGAUCCGGCACCGGCAAGUGGAAGCGGUGUCGCUCAACGGAUAAAAGGUACCCCGGGGAUAACAGGCUGAUCUUCCCCAAGAGUCCAUAUCGACGGGAUGGUUUGGCACCUCGAUGUCGGCUCGUCGCAUCCUGGGGCUGGAGUAGGUCCCAAGGGUUGGGCUGUUCGCCCAUUAAAGCGGCACGCGAGCUGGGUUUAGAACGUCGUGAGACAGUUCGGUCUCUAUCCGCCGCGCGCGUAAGAAACUUGAGGAAGGCUGUCCCUAGUACGAGAGGACCGGGACGGACGAACCUCUGGUGUGCCAGUUGUUCCACCAGGAGCAUGGCUGGUUAGCUACGUUCGGAAGGGAUAACCGCUGAAAGCAUCUAAGCGGGAAGCCUGUUCCAAGAUGAGGUUUCUCACCACCUUGCGUGGUUAAGGCCCCCUACAGACCAUGGGGUUGAUAGGCCGGAACUGGAAGCGCAGCAAUGCGUGGAGGUGACCGGUACUAAUAGGCCGAGGACUUAA